CAGCCGCCACGGUAAAACGAAGGGUGCAAGCGUUAAUCGGAAUUACUGGGCGUAAAGCGUGCGUAGGCGGUGAGUUAAGUCUGCUGUGAAAUCCCCGGGCUCAACCUGGGAAUGGCAGUGGAUACUGGCUCGCUAGAGUGUGUCAGAGGAUGGUGGAAUUCCCGGUGUAGCGGUGAAAUGCGUAGAGAUCGGGAGGAACAUCAGUGGCGAAGGCGGCCAUCUGGGACAACACUGACGCUGAGGCACGAAAGCGUGGGGAGCAAACAGGAUUAGAUACCCCAGUAGUCCCUGUCUCUUAUAC
rnacentral:rRNA from 1 species